UACGUAGGCAGCGAGCGUUGUUCGGAAUUACUGGGCGUAAAGAGUGUGUAGGCGGUGUUCCCAGUCUGUUGUGAAAUCUCCCGGCUUAACUGGGAGGGUGCAGCGGAAACUAGAAUGCUAGAGGGUGGGAGAGGUAAGCGGAAUUCCUGGUGUAGCGGUGAAAUGCGUAGAUAUCAGGAGGAACACCUGUGGUGUAGACAGCUUACUGGACCACUUCUGACGCUGAGACACGAAAGCGUGGGUAACAAACAGG
rnacentral:rRNA from 1 species